UACGUAGGGUGCGAGCGUUAAUCGGAAUUACUGGGCGUAAAGCGUGCGCAGGCGGUUUUGUAAGACAGGCGUGAAAUCCCCGACGCUCAACUUGGGAAUUGCGCUUGGGACUGCAAGGCUAGAGUGUGUCAGAGGGGGGGUAGAAUUCCACGUGUAGCAGUGAAAUGCGUAGAGAUGUGGAGGAAUACCGAUGGCGAAGGCAGCCCCCUGGGACACUGACUGACGCUCAUGCACGAAAGCGUGGGGAGCAAACAGG
rnacentral:rRNA from 1 species